rnacentral:ncRNA from 19 species
UUCUUAUCAAGAGAGGUGGAGGGACUGGCCCUAUGAUGCCCGGCAACCUGAAUGUAUUUACAUUCAAUGGUGCUAAUUCCAGCAGGUAAUAUAACCUGAAAGAUGAGAG